CGUCGGGCCAGGCGGCCGCUCGAGAGCCGGGCUGGGGAAGGGGCCCGCGGCGGAGUUGGCUCGGGGACUCACCAGGAGGAAGACAGAGAAUCUAGGAAGGUGCCAGGGAUGAUUUCUCAUCCCAAAGCCCUGGGAGAAAUCCCAUCUCUGGGCAAGAAGAGAAUCUGAACGCAAAUGGAUGAAGAUGCUAAUGAGGCUCAGAUGAUGAGAGCACACUAGGCUCACAGCAUGCUGACAAAUCCAGAAACAGGCUAUGCUUCCCUCCCGCCUUCCUAAGACUUCAGCUAAGACACUGCACAUGCCCGUCCCUCUGCAGGAAGGCCAUCCACAGUUAUAUCUUGCUUUAAAAAAGCAAAACUUUGAAAAAUAAAAUGUACAAAAUUGGGUAGUUAUUUGCAUUAUAAAGCAAUUUCAUUUAUUUAAAC
rnacentral:lncRNA from 1 species